ACCUGGUUGAUCCUGCCAGUAGUCAUACGCUUGUCUCAAAGAUUAAGCCAUGCAUGUCUAAGUAUAAACAAUUUUGUACUGUGAAACUGCGAAUGGCUCAUUAUAUCAGUUAUAGUCUACUCGAUAGUACCUUACUACUUGGAUACCCGUAGUAAUUCUAGAGCUAAUACAUGCAUCAAUACCCAACUGCUUGUCGGGCGGGUAGCAUUUAUUAGAUUGAAACCAAUGCAGUCUUCGGGCUGGUAUUGUGUUGAGUCAUAAUAACUGUGCGGAUCGCGCUUUUGCGCGAUAAAUCGAUUGAGUUUCUGCCCUAUCAGCUUUGGAUGGUAGGAUAUGGGCCUACCAUGGCAUUAACGGGUAACGGGGAAUUAGGGUUUGAUUCCGGAGAGGGAGCCUUAGAAACGGCUACCACAUCCAAGGAAGGCAGCAGGCGCGUAAAUUACCCAAUCCUGACACAGGGAGGUAGUGACAAUAAAUAACAAUGCUCUGGCUCUUCGAGUCGGGCAAUUGGAAUGAGAACAAUUUAAAUCCCUUAACGAGGAUCAAUUGGAGGGCAAGUCUGGUGCCAGCAGCCGCGGUAAUUCCAGCUCCAAUAGCGUAUAUUAAAGUUGUUGCAGUUAAAAAGCUCGUAGUUGGAUUUCUGUUUUGGAUGUCCGGUCCGCUCCCUCUGGGAGUGUGUACUUAUGGAUAUUCGAGGCAUUUUUUGUGAGGCUGCCUUUCUGCCAUUAAGUUGGUGGGUUGGUGGGCUUGCAUCGUUUACUGUGAAAAAAUUAGAGUGUUUAAAGCAGGCGUUUGCUCAUUUGAAUACAUUAGCAUGGAAUAAUAAGAUACGGCCUUGGUGGUCUAUUUUGUUGGUUUGCACACCAGGGUAAUGAUUAAUAGGGACAGUUGGGGGUAUUCAUAUUUCAGCGUCAGAGGUGAAAUUCUUGGAUCGCUGAAAGAUGAUUUAAGUAUGUUAGAGAGAGCAGAGUAGCGUGAAUUAGACUUGGUUUAAGUAUGUUAAAGAGAGCAGAAUAGCGCGAAUUAGACUUGGUUUAAGUAUGUUAGAGAGAGCAGAGUAGCGUGAAUUAGACUUAGUUUAAGUAUGUUAAAGAGAGCGGAAUAGCGUGAAUUAGACUAGGAUAAAGUAUGCAAAAUGAAGCUGAGGACUUUGUGAAAAAAUGCGAAGUUGUUUGCUGUUCUAAUUGUAUGGGUUUGGAGAUGUUUUUGGCUUGGAUUAAUAACAGGCAGGAAGCGCGAGGAAACGCAGCGAAUAUGGACGCGUACGCGGAAGGUGACGGCGGAGGAAGCGCGGAUAUGGAGGUGAAAAUGGUGAAGGUGAUGGCGCGAGGAAGGUGACGGCGCAUGGGUGUGAAUAUGGAGGUGAUGAAAGGUGACGGGAGGAAACGCAUGAUGUAUAUGACAAGUUGGUGUCGUACUUAAGCGGAGCGCGCGCUGUGCAUGUAUGAAGGUGUCGAAGGUGUUCAUAUUGCCUAAGACGCGUACGUGCACAUGUCAUGUCGCAUAGGAAGCGUAGGUAUGGUUGUGCAAGUCGUAAAUGGCCACUUUGGUGGUUUAACAUUGUUUCCAGGCCGCGUAUGCGCAAAUAUGGGGUGCGGCGGCUAUCUGCACUGCUGUGUAUGAAGGUGUCGGUCUGUGUGGGGUUCCUAUCGGAGAGAAUACGUAUGCUGCGUUGUAGGAGUGAGCUGCUGGCCACACGUUUGUAUUGGAGUGCGCCACACCACCCCCCUUUUUGUUUUGUUACUAUAUAAAGUGUAGCCAUCCACCCAGCCAAUUCUGAGGGCCAGAAGGGGUAUUGGGGGCCAUCGUGUGCAGUCUAUGGCCACGUAUGUGGACAUGUGAGUGUGUAAAUGUGUUGUACCAAUGUAUACGAGUGAUAAACACUAAUAGGCGUGUCGGUCAAAGUCAAAUGUAGACGGCCAUCUUAGGCUGAAAGCACCAUAUCCCGUCUGCUCUGUGAAGUUAAGCAGCCUCAAGCUCGGGUAGUACUCGGGUGGGUGACCACCGGGGAAGUCCGGGUGCUGUCUACUUUUUAGCCCGUUUUGAGCUGUUUACCGACUUUGCGUGUGUUUGCAAACGCAAGAUAUGAUGUCUGGCAUGUGCCCACACGACAUCUUGGUUUUAGUAUGCCUGGCGAGCCACUACACACGAGAUCUUGUUUUUUGUAUGGUGUUCUUUAAUUUGAUUAUUAUGAAGAUGAAAGAGAACCGUUAGAACGGGUAUGAAGGGUGUUCUAGGGGUGCUUUUCGG
rnacentral:rRNA from 1 species